rnacentral:rRNA from 1 species
AUUGAACGCUGGCGGCAUGCCUUACACAUGCAAGUCGAACGGUAACAGGUUAAGCUGACGAGUGGCGAACGGGUGAGUAAUACAUCGGAACGUGCCCAAUCGUGGGGGAUAACGCAGCGAAAGCUGUGCUAAUACCGCAUACGCUGUACGGAUGAAAGCGGGGGAUCGCAAGACCUCGCGCGAGUGGAUCGGGCGAUGGCAGAUUAGGUAGUGGGUGAGGUGAAGGCUCACCAAGCCUGCGAUCUGUAGCUGGUCUGAGAGGACGACCAGCCACACUGGGACUGAGACACGGCCCAGACUCCUACGGGAGGCAGCGGUGGGGAAUUUUGGACAAUGGGCGCAAGCCUGAUCCAGCAAUGCCGCGUGCAGGAUGAAGGCCUUCGGGUUGUAAACUGCUUUUGUACGGAGCGAAACGGCUUCCACUAAUACUGGGGGCUAAUGACGGUACCGUAAGAAUAAGCACCGGCUAACUACGUGCCAGCAGCCGCAGUAAAAC